UGCUACCUGUCUAGAGCUGGGGCUGUGU
rnacentral:piRNA from 1 species